GCGCGGGCGCCCUCGUGAGGCUGGGCUGCGUCGCCAGCGGCAGCGUGAAGCGGGCAGCCCGGUCUGCGCCGGGGCCUGGGCCUGGAGUCCAGUGUGGUCGGGCGUUCGACUCGCGCGGCUCCCCGCCCGAGGGCCCACCGGGCUCCGGCUGGAAGCCGCCCAGGGUGCGGCAGCGAAACUUCGGCCCGGUUGCAACCACAGUGGCGUUUAGGCCGGACGCUCUUGCUCCCGUUUCACGGAGCGGUCGAAAUCCGUAGACGUUUCUAAUGCGUUCUACCGGUAGCCCAGCCCUCUUCGUCCUCAGCCUCUAUUCGUGCUCACUUUUCUCCCAGGCAGGUAGCUCCAGGGGCCUCCUGUCUCUCUCCUCCCCACCCUAUCCCGUUUUCCCUUGAGCAUCCCCUGCUGCUUGCCAGGUGUGCCUUUAGUGAGAACCCGAUCUUUCCAGCACUUUUUUUCCUGCUGGUGAAGACAAACCCACAUGCUUUUAGUUUUCAGGGUUUUGUUAUCGAUCAGUUUCAUCCAUAGGUAGUGCUUACAUAGCACGUGCUACGUGCCAGCCAUGAUGUUUAGUGGGUUUAUGUGCAUUAAUUCACCCAGUCUUUGGAACAGCUCUAAACUUAAUCUUAUUAUACUAUCACUAAUUUGCAAAUCAGAAAACUGAGAUCUGAGGCAAAUUAAGUAAAUUGACUAAAGUUAUACAGACAACACACUGCCUGAUCAUGAACUGAAUUAUCUUUAAAAUUAUUAUUGGUACAUAAUCAAAGCAAAGUAUCACAAAGUUUCAGAAUUAUUCAAUAGAACGUAACACUUCUGGGGAAAUGCAUCUCGCUGAAAUGGAUAUUGUUGCUUUUUAAAAUUCAUAAAUCUGUGAAUGAUUAUAUCUUAUUGCUGGGACGGGAAGGAUUGAGCAUCAAUACCACUCUUAAGUUUUAGUUUUUAUAACUGUAUGGCCUUAGAAACGGUGUAUAAACAAGUACUAUACCUGGUAAUCCUAAUCCUACUGUAGCAACGUUGUAACUGAGCAGGGUCCUGUGAGGCUCCUGGGCACACAAGCCUUUCUGUGUCCUUCAUUUCCUGUUUUUAAGGAAUAAGCUUCAGUCUCCAUGACCUUCCCUGAGCUCCAAAGGGCGGUUGAUAAUCAGGGCAGGAAAGGGAUGCAGCGAUCAGGGAGCAGCAGUCGAGAGACAAUAAUGCAGCCUUGGGGCAGGGCCCUGGUUCCUCCUCAAGGAAUAUACAUAACAAUGUCUUGGAGCCUUUUUGCAGAACUAAAAUCCCCAACCAAGGGAAGAACUGCUUGAUGAAGGAGGACCUCCAGAACCAGUCCUGGGCUGCUAAUUAUUUCUCAGCUUUGAUCCUUAUCUGCAGCCUUAUUUUCCACUCCCCAAAGUAUAAAACCACCCCCUAAUCUCUCCCAAGGAGGGCACAGUCUUUAAGGCAUUGGUCUGCUGUGCCCUCCUUUACCUGGCAAAGCAAUAAAGCUCUCUUUUUCUCCUUCACCUAAAACUCUGUCUCCAAAUUUCCAUUCAGCAAUGGCAGACAGAAGCUGAGUUUCGGCAGCAAAAUUUGAGGGCUCAUCCAGGAUCUGCCUGUGGGCAGGCGGCCCCACAGUGCUCUUGGCUGGAUCAGACACUUUGAGGUUUCUCUCCACACCAGUCCCCCUAUAGGUUAGCAGAGGAUUGGAGGAAUCUUUUAGAGGCCAGACUGCUGAGAGUUUCCUGCCAUGGGGCCGGCCCUGAGCAGAGCUGACUGGCCAUCUUGGAAGUUGGAACUCCAGGGUGGAAGAGUGGUUGGUAGGCAGCUCUCACUGGCCUUGGGGGGACUCCUUCCUUUCCCUCUGCUCCUGCCGACCAGAACUUCCCACUUCAAGAAGACUUUUUGGGAAGAGGAAAAGUAGCAUCUGUGAUUUCGAGACACCUCUGCCAGCAUCUGGAUGGGAUUCAGAAUUGGGAAGGCAAAGUAAUCAUACCGAUAAAAAGAGGGAGGAUUUUGGACCUCCGUGAAGAUACUGAAGUGGGGGGGGGGCAGGGAGAGAGGGUGUUUAUCUGCUUGCCUGGCUGGCACCGUAGCUGUCAUCGUUUCCUUACAUCUUCACCACGACAAGACUGUGUCAUUCGAGCCAUCUUGAGAAGGAGAAGAUGAAAGCUGGGAGGCCGUGAACAUCUCGCCCAGAUUUAUGUUGCUGCAAAAAGAAUUGAAAUUGGGAGGCAGAUUGCAUCCAAAGCUGGAAUAUUUCCAUGUGCUCUUCCCUACACCAUCCUAAAGACGUGGAAGGCAGGGCCUCCCCUCCCUUCCGUGCACCUUCUUGCCCCCACCCCUGUGGUCUCUGUAUCUGCACUAAGAUGAAUGUGCUCUGGCCUCUCCCACCUCACACAGAGCAAGGAGAAAAGGCAACAGCCUCAAAUCUGCCCAAUAUUCCACGGAAGCUGGUCUUUCUUCUACAUGGACAGUGAUUCCCUUUGAAAAGGCAGCAACAUUGAACUGCCCCAGCUUCCUGGCUAUGCCCACCGAUGAAGGUGACAAUCACGAUGCAGAAAUGGACAGUGGGGAGCGUUGGAUGGAAUAAUUACAAUAGUGAACAAAGAACAGCGGUGAAGACAUUUUACCCAAACAUCUUACUUGCUGUUGGAAGUCUGGCUUGACCCAAUGUGAGGCCCUCUUCUCCAUUCCAGAUCCAGGACACCAUUCCCUGAAGGAGCCAUCAGGGGCCUGUGGGAUAGAGGCCAUUGCCGGGGAUGCCCUGAUAGAGGUCCUUCAACAAAUAACAAGUAAGAGGCUGCAGUUUCUGCAACGAGAGAUGAUGGGGCUGAAAUGUCAGCAGGACAGACCAGGAUGGAAGAUCAAUCACGGAGCGGUUCCCCAUGCUGUGAGCUCCCCCAGGCAAAGGCUGUACCUUUUGUUUUCCUCAGCACCUCUCUUAAAACCCAGAACAAUGUCCAGAGGAGAACAGGCAUUCAGGGUAAAUGUUGAGUCAGUGUUGUCCCAGCCUUGGUGAAGCAGGGGCAUCUAGCAUGCUGUGAGAUGCUGUGUGCUGAGGAGUUAUAUUCCAGGGUACUAACUGGCAGCCAGACCCAUCACUGCAGACCCUAUUUCCAUCUCUAUUCUGGGACCAUGUGGAAUCAGAGAUAAAUUAGACCACAUCUUUGUCCUAGGAGUUCACAGUCAAGCUGAGGCGGACAGACUGACAAAUUGAUAAAUGCUUCAACAUUGUGAUGUGGUGACAUACAGGGUCAGUAGGUGCCUGAACUUCACCAUGGAGCUGUGAGUGCUCUUGACUCAGGACUUGAAGAAGCUUAAGGAGGAAAUCCAGCAGAGGCUAGAUACUUCGUACCAGCAGGCCCUGGUUCUGCUCUACCCCAGCAAGGUAAGCUGGGGGAUCAGUGACAACAUACACAAACUGCCACAGUCCCCUGUCCCCAAACUUCAAGGUGCAAAAAUGGUCCAUGCUUCCCUGAAGCAUUUUAUAGCUCAUGAACAUUUCUCUUCUAUCCUCUCCAACUUCAGAGAUAUGGAGCUGGCAUCUAAAUUGACACAUAACAAAGCCGCUGUACCCUCCAAUCUCUUGAGACAGUCUUAAACAGCAGUUAGAGGGUGAGGGUGAGUGGGCUCAGGGUACCAAGCCUGAGUGAAGAAAGUGAUGCAACCUCUUUGUCCUUCCUCAUUCCAAAUUUCCCAGCCUGAGGCAAGUGUGAGCUGUGGGGAGGAGAAAACCUUUCAAUCAGAGGGGAGAUUGAGGCUAGAAUGAAUCUUGUUAUAUGUAAACUUGAAUAGAGAAAUGAUGAAAAUGGCCUGAGGUUUCACACAGGUGCUGAGAAGGGAGGGUGACAAGAUCAGGGAGAAAAGGUAGCGGGUGUGAAAACAAUAAAGCUGCUUUUGGUUGUGUUUUACUUUGUCCAGAUUAUAUAUAAUGGUGUGUAUAUGUGUUAAUGUAUGCAUGUAGGUCUGAUCAAGAUUUAGGUUUAUGGAAGCAGAGCAAUGUUGCUGCGUUACAAACAUCAAAGGAUGUUCCCUCCAGCUGCUGUGCCCCUAAUCACUGUUCCCAGUGCUAUGUGUUAACUCUCUUACCCAAAGGGUAGCAGAUUCCAUGAUUUCUUAUUUCCUUUGGUUACAACAAGUUCUAGCUUAAAAAACCUUCCUCAUCAUCUUUGCUUCUCCCUUCAGGGCUAUCCAUGCUUGAGACUUGGGGCAUUGUGAGUGGGCAGUACCUAGCCUGCUCUUUUUUUUUUAAUUAAUUAAUUUUUAAACUGAAGUAGAGCUGACUCACAAUAUUAUAUUAGAUCCAGGUUUACCACAGAGUGACUCAAUAUUUUUUAUAGAUUCCAUUUAAAGUUAUUUCAUUUAAAGUUGUUAUAAAAUAUUGACUAUAUUCCCUGUGUUGUAUAAUAUAUUCCUGAAGCUUAUUUAUUUUAUUCAUAGUCAUUUGCACCUCUUCAUUCUCUGCCUCUAUCUUGACCCUCCUCUCGUCUCUCUCCCCCCUGGCAACCACUAGUUUUUUCUUUACAUCUGUGAGUCUGUUUGUUUCGUUAUAUUCAUUCAUUUGUUUUUUUUUUUUUCAUUCCACAUAUAACAUAAUAUGGUAACAUCUAGUAUUUGUCUUUCUCUAUCUGACUUAUUUUACUCAGCUAAUUCCCUCAAGGUCCAUUCAUAUCUUCAUAAAUGGCAAGAUUUUGUUCUUUUUUAUGGCUGAGUAGUGUUCCAUUACAUUGAGAAAUAAAAGAUUGCCUGCCAUCUCCUUAAACAAAAAAUAUCGCAGUCACUAACAGUUGCAGCCACUCCUGAGCGGGUGAACCCAGAGGAAACUCAGAGAAGAAAAAAAGAAUACCUGGGAGUUCCCGUAGUGGCUCAGUAGUU